UUGUGACUGUCCUUCUGCCUCCUUGUCCUAGGUGCUGGGAUUACAAAUGUGAACUCCCACACUUCCUGCAACAGGAUGUUUGUUUUGUUUUGAGAUUUGGUCUCAUACAGUCUAGGCUGGCUUUGAACUCACACUGCUGUUGAAAGGAACCAGCCUCCACCUCCUGAGUGCUGGGAUCACACAGGAAUGUGCCACUGUGCUGGCUUUACGCAGUAUAGGGAUUGAACCCAAGACUUUGUGUACCUCAGUCAGGUAAGUGCUCUAUCCAGCCCCUCAGAAGGAUGACUUGAGUUGGAUACGACAAUGCCAGACACUUAGGAAGUGUAAAUGGAUAGAGGCGGCAGAUGUUUUGGGGAGCAGUCAAGGCCUGCCUGAAGGCUUGCUAGAAUUACAGACUCACUGUGCCUGAAUCUGCAUUUUACCAAAUGCCCCGGUGAUUCAUGCAUGCAUUAGAGUUUGAAAGGCCAGCUGCAGGGGUCUAUAAUAAAAAUGUCUGACUUCUUCCAGGUCCCAGAACUGAAAGAGAAAGGACAGACUGUGUGAAUAAGGAAUGGCGGGUGUCUCAGAGCCAGAAAAAGAAAGUACUGUAAAGUGGAGCAGUGGAUGUCCCCUGGGUCUUUACCAUCUGUUGAGCCAGUCAUGGCAUCCCUCCCUGGGGAAGAACAGCCCCACCCCCAGACACGCUGUUCAUCUUCUUGAUGACAAGUGGAUCCACCCAUGGGAGACCUGCUCUUUGCUGGGUUUAAAAUCCACCACCAAGCAGCUGUUAUUUUUGCAAAGGUCAAAGGGCAACUUAAUAUUCAGGAUCACUCUCUGUUGGAUAAUUUUAUGUCAGCUUCGAACAGGCUGGAGUUAGCCGAGAGGUGGGAAUCCCAACUGAGAAAAUGCCCCCAUAAGAUCGAGUUGUACGCAAGCCUGUAGGGCAUUUUCUUAAUUAGUGAUUGCUGGGAGAGGGCCCAGGCCGUUAUAAGUAGGGUCAUCCCUGGGCUGGUGGUCCUGGGGUCUGUAACAGAGCAGGCUGAGUGAGCUAUGGAGAGAAAGCUAAUAAGCAGCACCCCUCCAUGACUUCUGUGUUAGUCCUUUUCUCCAGGUUCCUACCCUGUUUGAGUUCCUGUCCUGACUUCCUUCAGUGAUGGAGUAUGGUUGUGGAAACAGAAGCCAAGUAAACCCCUUCCUUCCCAAUUUGCCUAUGGUCAUAGUGUUUCACCAUAGCAACAGUAACCCAAACUAUAAGUCAGAAGCUGGCUUCAGGAGAGUGAGGUGUUGCUCUGACAGACCUGACCAUGCUUUGGGGAGGAUCGUGGAAGGACUUUGGAACCUUGGGCUGGAAAAGCCAGUGAGUGUUGAGAGCUUGGUGGGCUGUUCUGUAGGAGCUUGGACGAUCAGAGAGCUGAGAGCAGGGCAGAUGAUGGAGGCCUGGCUUGAGAAGUUUCAGAGGGAGGCAAAGGCUCUGCUAUGCCAUUUGUGUGAAGACUUUGUAGUUCUGGUCAGCUGGAGCUGAAGAAUUGGCUGUGAUCAACAAGAAACCAGAACCACUCCAAUAAAACCUUUGAUUUGCUGAGAUAGUGGGUGCUGGUCGGCUGGGGCUGAGCGAUCAGCUGUGAUUAAGCAGUGGCUCCUGAGAGGUAGCACAAGGAGCUGCAUUCUAGAGGUGGCCCAGGCUGUACUUUGUGCUGCCAGAUGAACUCUGUACUGUGUAAGAGUAUCCCAGGUGGUACUGGUUCUGACGGCAUGAAGGGGUCAUGGAGAGCUGCCGAGGCUUGGCGCUGUGAGAGAUGAGGCAAGACCAUUGGUGAAGGUGGAGCCUUACUAGCAAUUGAAUCCCCAGGACUGAAGGGGCAAUGAAGAGAAGCUGAGGCUUGCCACCAUGAAAAGAGCCCAGCAGAGGCUACUGGUGAAAAUGCAGCCCAGUUGCAGCACAAGACCUCAGCACUUUGGAGAUGCCAGUACCAAGGAUGACCACCAAGAACAGCAGCGGCUAUGAAGAGGAGCCGGCCGGAAUCUAGAAGACAACCUGUGUGUGCUGCAGAGGGCAGAGGUGGGCAAGUGCCCUUCGACAGCCAGAGGAUUAGAUCAACAGACGGCUCUGCCACACACUUCUCCACGCUGUACUCUGCCACCACAGGGCCAAGCAACAGGACCAAGUGACCGUGGGCACAGCUGUGUGCUUCCAGGAACACACCAGCUGUUUGUGAGCCUCCUACUGCGGGAAGGACACAAGUUUGCGGCUCUGGCAAUUACUGAAGAGGCUUGAAAAGGGGGAAAAUGUAAGACAGAUUUAUCAGCAUCUUGUCAAGUCCAGGCACUUACUACAUCUAGGAAAGCUCCAGAGAAGCAGCCUCUAGAAGCUCCAAUCUCCUCUCACAGACACAGACACUUCCGUUGGACCUAUUCCUCAGAUGGCUUCACAGACCCUGGAUAACAAGGAAACUGUUAUGGAUAACAGCCAACUGUAAGACUGGACAAACACCCCCAUACCCAUUCUUCCAGUUUCCUAAAGACACGUCGCCCCAAUGCCAGUAGGAAGUACUUAGGGAUCACAAGAACCCUAUUCCUGCCCCACCAUCACCUCUUUCUAAAUUUUCCUUUUGAAUUUAACCAAAAGCUGAUACUUUCAGGUCAUCAUCCAUCUUUGAGUGCCGGUGAAAUGUGAUCCAGCCUCUUCCAUGUGUGCCUCAUGCUCCUGCCUUGGUACCUUUCCUGCCAUGGACUUUCUCCCUCUGGAACCAUCAGCUGAAAUAAAUCCUUCUCCCCUCCUA